rnacentral:lncRNA from 1 species
UUGAGGGAUAUUGGCUGUUUAUUAUUGGGCUAAAAUAGAUCUAAUAUUUUGUCCCGUAAUAAUAGACUAAAAAAAUUAAUAAGUUAAAUUAGAUGAGCCUAAUAAGUUUAGUGGAGAUACUGUUUGUAAGAGACCUAACGGCAAGAGGCUCAACAAUAGAUUCAACGUCCAGAUGGGUUGAGCCAGAUCGAAACCAGCGAGCACUGUAACUGAGCCCGUAAGUGUGAUGGAUACGUUCUUUUUAUCAGCAUGUACUAUUGGGAUAGUUGAUUAGCGCUUACGAUUCACAAAGGAAUCUUAAUCUGUCACCAUUUAUCUGUUUUAUUUUUAUUCAACGGAGAGUUUUAAUUUUCUUUAAAUUUUAUCAUUAAAAAAGCUCAACAGAUUAUUAGAUUAAGAUAAAAUUAAUACAUAAUAGCGAAGAGACCUAACAGUAAGAGACUCAACAAUAGACCCAACGUCCAGAUGGAUUGAGUCGGAUCGAAACUCACAAGCGCUGUGGCUGAGUCCUUAAGUGUGAUGGGUGCGCCCUUUCGAUUAGCACGUAUUUUUAGAAUAUGUGGUUAGUGUUUACGAUUUAUGAAGAAGUCUUAAUCUGUCACCAUGUAUCAGUUUUAUUUUUAUUCAACGAAGAGUUUUAACUUUUUUUAAAUUUUAUCAUUAAAAAAGCUCAACAGAUUAUUAGA